rnacentral:rRNA from 1 species
GACGAACGCUGGCGGCGUGCUUAACACAUGCAAGUCGAACGGAAAGGCCCUGCUUGCAGGGUACUCGAGUGGCGAACGGGUGAGUAACACGUGGGUGAUCUGCCCUGCACUUCGGGAUAAGCCUGGGAAACUGGGUCUAAUACCGGAUAGGAGCCAUUUUUAGUGUGAUGGUUGGAAAGUUUUUUCGGUGUAGGAUGAGCUCGCGGCCUAUCAGCUUGUUGGUGGGGUAAUGGCCUACCAAGGCGGCGACGGGUAGCCGGCCUGAGAGGGUGGACGGCCACAUUGGGACUGAGAUACGGCCCAGACUCCUACGGGAGGCAGCAGUGGGGAAUAGUGCACAAGGGGCGCAAGCCUGAUGCAGCGACGCCGCGUGGGGGAUGACGGACUUCGGGUUGUAAACUCCUUUCGCUAGGGACGAAGCUUUUUGUGACGGUACCUAGAUAAGAAGCACCGGCUAACUACGUG